rfam:Oryza barthii chromosome 8, whole genome shotgun sequence.
AGGGACCAGGACGAUGGCUGGCCAAAUACAGCUGGUGAUGGAGCCGGAGGCCCGUCGUUUCAGCAGAAAUUGUAGAGCAUGUUGGCCAGUCCGCAGUGAUAAUCUCAUCACAGCAGCAGGUCAAUCUUCAGGGCAGUGUAGCAUGUGUAUGAAUUGUGGUUUAGGUCACA